UAAGGAAUAUUGGUCAAUGGACGCAAGUCUGAACCAGCCAUGCCGCGUGAAGGAUUAAGGCCCUCUGGGUUGUAAACUUCUUUUAUAGGGGAAGAAAUGUGACGGUUCUCUGUCACUUGACGGUACCCUGGGAAUAAGCACCGGCUAACUCCGUGCCAGCAGCCGCGGUAAUACGGAGGGUGCAAGCGUUAUCCGGAUUCACUGGGUUUAAAGGGUGCGUAGGUGGGCAGAUAAGUCAGUGGUGAAAUCUUCCGGCUUAACCGGGAAACUGCCGUUGAUACUAUUUGUCUUGAAUAUUGCGGAGGUAAGCGGAAUAUGUCAUGUAGCGGUGAAAUGCUUAGAUAUGACAUAGAACACCAAUUGCGAAGGCAGCUUACUACACAAUCAUUGACACUGAGGCACGAAAGCGUGGGUAGCGAACA
rnacentral:rRNA from 1 species